rnacentral:tRNA from 1 species
CGUCGAGUGGAGCAGUCCGGUAGCUCGUCAGGCUCAUAACCUGGAGGUCCGCGGUUCGAAUCCGCGCUCGGCAACCA